rnacentral:rRNA from 1 species
GAUGAACGCUGACAGAAUGCUUAACACAUGCAAGUCUACUUGAAGUAACUUCGGUUAUGGAUGGUGGCGGAUGGGUGAGUAACGCGUAAAUAACUUGCCCCCUAGUCUGGGACGAACUGUUGGAAACGAACAGCUAAUACUAGAUGUUAUGAGACCUUGGCAUCAAGGACUUAUGAAAGACUAUAUGCGCUAGGGGAGAGAUUUGUCGUCCUAUUAGCUAGUUGGUGAGGUAAUGGCUCACCAAGGCGACGAUAGGUAGCCGGCCUGAGAGGGUGAACGGCCACAAGGGGACGUGAGACACGGCCCUUACUCCUACGGGAGGCAGCAGUGGGGAAGUAUUGGACAAUGGACCAAAACGUACUGAUCCAGCAAUUCUGUGUGCUUGAUGAAGG